UACGGGGGGUGCGAGCGUUGUCCGGAAUCACUGGGCGUAAAGGGCGCGUAGGUGGUUUGAUAAGGGUGUGGUGAAAGUCCGGGGCUCAACCCCGGAUCUGCCGUGCCGACUGUCAAACUCGAGGGCUGUAGAGGCAGACGGAAUUCCUGGUGUAGCGGUGAAAUGCGCAGAUAUCAGGAGGAACACCGGUGGCGAAGGCGGGUCUCUGGGCCGUAACUGACGCUGAGGAGCGAAAGCGUGGGGAGCGAACAGG
rnacentral:rRNA from 1 species